GCCAGCGUAGCUCAGUUGGCAGAGCAGCGGUUUCGUAAACCGCAGGUCAAGGGUUCGAAUCCCUUCGCUGGCUCCA
rnacentral:tRNA from 1 species